UGCAGUCGAACGAUGAUCCCAGCUUGCUGGGGGAUUAGUGGCGAACGGGUGAGUAACACGUGAGUAACCUGCCCUUAACUCUGGGAUAAGCCUGGGAAACUGGGUCUAAUACCGGAUAUGACUCCUCAUCGCAUGGUGGGGGGUGGAAAGCUUUAUUGUGGUUUUGGAUGGACUCGCGGCCUAUCAGCUUGUUGGUGAGGUAAUGGCUCACCAAGGCGACGACGGGUAGCCGGCCUGAGAGGGUGACCGGCCACACUGGGACUGAGACACGGCCCAGACUCCUACGGGAGGCAGCAGUGGGGAAUAUUGCACAAUGGGCGAAAGCCUGAUGCAGCGACGCCGCGUGAGGGAUGACGGCCUUCGGGUUGUAAACCUCUUUCAGUAGGGAAGAAGCGAAAGUGACGGUACCUGCAGAAGAAGCGCCGGCUAACUACGUGCCAGCAGCCGCGGUAAUACGUAGGGCGCAAGCGUUAUCCGGAAUUAUUGGGCGUAAAGAGCUCGUAGGCGGUUUGUCGCGUCUGCCGUGAAAGUCCGGGGCUCAACUCCGGAUCUGCGGUGGGUACGGGCAGACUAGAGUGAUGUAGGGGAGACUGGAAUUCCUGGUGUAGCGGUGAAAUGCGCAGAUAUCAGGAGGAACACCGAUGGCGAAGGCAGGUCUCUGGGCAUUAACUGACGCUGAGGAGCGAAAGCAUGGGGAGCGAACAGGAUUAGAUACCCUGGUAGUCCAUGCCGUAAACGUUGGGCACUAGGUGUGGGGGACAUUCCACGUUUUCCGCGCCGUAGCUAACGCAUUAAGUGCCCCGCCUGGGGAGUACGGCCGCAAGGCUAAAACUCAAAGGAAUUGACGGGGGCCCGCACAAGCGGCGGAGCAUGCGGAUUAAUUCGAUGCAACGCGAAGAACCUUACCAAGGCUUGACAUGAACCGGAAACACCUGGAAACAGGUGCCCCGCUUGCGGUCGGUUUACAGGUGGUGCAUGGUUGUCGUCAGCUCGUGUCGUGAGAUGUUGGGUUAAGUCCCGCAACGAGCGCAACCCUCGUUCUAUGUUGCCAGCGCGUUAUGGCGGGGACUCAUAGGAGACUGCCGGGGUCAACUUCGGAGGAAGGUGGGGGACGACGUCAAAUCAUCAUGCCCCUUAUGUCUUGGGGUUCACGCAUGCUACAAU
rnacentral:rRNA from 1 species